rnacentral:lncRNA from 1 species
CUCCACAGGGGUCGCCACCCGCAGGUCGAGCACCACUGUUUCAAGGGUGGUUGCACCUGCAUAAGAAAGCUGCACACCUGCAUCUCCUCGGUCGUGAAGUCCACGGUGGUUCCCAGCUGCCCAUGGCGUCCUCUUCAGGGAACUGACAAGCUGGAGAUGGAAGCUACAUUUGGAGUCCUGCUCCAGGAGGGAAAACAGAAAAACAAGACACUGCCCCAACACCGCCCCCAGAUGCAUCCGGGCGGGAGCUCAUUUCCAUCCCAAAUUGACUACAGAGGGCGAAGGCUUCUGGGAAAUACCAGGUUCCUUCUGCAAGAUGAGAAAAUCAGUUCAAUAAUCCUCUACCCCCACCUCAUCCAUGAACUUUGGAUUUCAUCUUCAGCAUCAUCAAGAGACAACCAGCAAAUCGUUGUUUGCACCACAAGUGAUGGCAAGCUCAUUACACUGCAAAUUUCGCAUUCAGCUUCUGAGCACCGGAAUGCCAUCAGUUUGUGCCAUCGUUGGAACUGAUGUUGGUUCCCCUAAGGGCCACCCUCAUGAGGGUGGAGCUUGUCUCACCAAUUCAGUCCUGCAGAGGUUUGCGAACCAAGUUCACUUCA